ACUUAGUGGCAGACGGGUGAGUAACAUGUGGGUAUCUACCCUUUGGCCUGGAAUAACACGAGGAAACUUGUGCUAAUACCGGAUAAGUCUUUACGGAGAAAGCUUUAUGCACCAUUGGAUGAGCCCGCACUUGAUUAGUUUGUUGGUAGGGUAAUGGCCUACCAAGACUAUGAUCAAUAGCUGAUUUGAGAGGAUGAUCAGCCACAUUGGGACUGAGACACGGCCCAAACUCCUACGGGAGGCAGCAGUGGGGAAUCUUGCACAAUGGAGGACACUCUGAUGCAGCGAUGCCGCGUGAGUGAAGAAGGCCUUUGGGUUGUAAAGCUCUUUCGUCGGGGAAGAAAAUGACUGUACCCGAAUAAGAAGGUCCGGCUAACUUCGUGCCAGCAGCCGCGGUAAUACGAAGGGACCUAGCGUAGUUCGGAAUUACUGGGCUUAAAGAGUUCGUAGGUGGUUGAAAAAGUUGGUGGUGAAAUCCCAGAGCUUAACUCUGGAACUGCCAUCAAAACUUUUCAGCUAGAGUAUGAUAGAGGAAAGCAGAAUUUCUAGUGUAGAGGUGAAAUUCGUAGAUAU
rnacentral:rRNA from 1 species